rnacentral:lncRNA from 1 species
GUUGGAGUUUGGAGCUGGAGUCUACCACACUGUCCAGGGAACUCUACAGGGAGACCAAGUUCCUAACAAGGAGUGACAAUCCUUUGAAGUCAUGAAUAUACAAGAGCAUGAAUAAGAGAAGAAAAGAUGGAAGAUAAAAAGCAGAAGGGUGCUGGAGAUAUAAUGGUGAAUAAUGUUGCAAUAUGCCCAGUCUUCAUGGAAUCAACAGUCCAGUGGGGAAGGCAGAUAAGUGAGCAUAUUCCUUCUACUUACAGAAAAAGUCAACUGUAAAACAGCCUCAGGCAGGUCUUUCAGGAGAUAUUCCAGAAGGCAUUGUUAUCAUACAAAAUGAUAGCUCCAUGAGUAUCAUUUUCCCUGAAGACCAGUGGGACAAGAUGAGGAGAUGGAAGACAGUGAUAUGGAUGAUCCUGAACCUGAGACUGUAUAGGCCUAGGCUAAUGCAUGUGUUUGUGUCUUCGUUUUUAACUAAAAGCUUAAAAAGUAAGAAAAAUAAAAAUAAAACAUUUGAAAAUACAAAAAUCAUAUAGAAUUAAGGACAUAAGAAUAUUUUCGAACAGCUGUACAAUGUAUGUGUGUUUUAAGCUAAAUGUUAUUGCAAAAGAGCCAAAAGUUUUUUUAAAAAGUUUA